GUAGUCGUGGCCGAGUGGUUAAGGGGAUGGACUAGAAAUUCAUUGGGAUAUUCCCGAGCAGGUUCGAAUCCUGCCGACUGCG
rnacentral:tRNA from 1 species